GAGGGUAUAGCUCAGUGGUAGAGUGUAUGGCUGAGCAUGCAUGAGGUCCUGGGUUCAAUCCCCGGUACCUCCA
rnacentral:tRNA from 1 species